GAUAACAGAAUCUUGAUCCAUCUUCCCAUCUUCAUAGCUCAUGAAAUUACCACCUGUUGUCAAAAUGAAUACUGGUUGGUUUCCUGAUUCUCCAAACUUUCCAGUUUCAAAUCCAUCAGCAAGGAGUUUCAUGAACUGGGUAUCAGCAAAAUCAACAUUUUCCACCAAAGCAACAAUCUUUUCUUGAUUUCUUAAAGUUUUUUCU
rnacentral:misc_RNA from 1 species